GACAUGUUUAACAUGCGGAAAUAUGGUGAUUGGCUACACUCUGGGGACAACAACCAACAACAAGACUUGCUUAUAGAGAAAAACAAACCGAACAUACAGCAAAACAAAGUCACUAGAGGACCAACCAACCAGGUAUAGGUUUUAUAAACAGCCCAUAGGAAGGGCGGCAACACAUCCACGACACACUAAAAUAUGGACUUCACACUGACAUCAACACACGACAAUAGUUUUUGUUCACAGGGUUACGAGCCCAAAGUUUCGACACGAGAAUAUUCAUCUAAGUUUUACGCGCACCCUUUGAAAACCGCUACAUCUUCGGAGACACAUGGAACACAUAAUGCAAGGGAUUGCAUGGGGCCACGUUCUCCCCCCUUCACUUGCCGCUACUUAGGAGUUAGGACCGCUUGCCGCGAUCUGUUCUUCGAGCUGCAUCAAAAGAUGAAUAAUAGGUCAAUGAUUAAGAUAAGUCUAUGGCACAUAAUGAUGCUCAAGUCACGUGGUUUCACUAAUCAGCCAUGUUACAAGUUAGCUAGUUUCUUAUUUGCGCAUUUGGCGAAGCUUAAUUUAAGCUGGGAAACAAAGAAUUUCUACCACUUUUUUAGCUACCAUGUGCAUCUACCAAGCAUGAUGACAAAAUUACCACAUAAUCAUUUAACGGCUAAAUGAGACUUUUCGGUACCUCAAACUAAGUGAUCCAAAUCAUAAUGUCAAAAGAAUUAGAUUAAGUAUUAAACAUUGUUCCCUUUUCUCUAUCUUAAUAUGACCAAUCUAUGAGUUAUGAAACUAGCGGGAAUUUGGUAUCAAAAUCCAACAUUAGGCACAUAAGGUGCUACCUGCAUCAUGAUCUCCAACUCAUGUCGCACAUUUUAGAACUCAUUCCUAACAAGAGCCAAUGACAUGAGACACCUGAAAUAAUGCAAAAAUACCACAUUGUCAGAUUCUGAAGAGGUUAACAGAACUGAGAUGAAAUGGUUCAAAAAUUGUAACCCUAUGCUUCAAAAGAGAAAAACCUCUAGCCAUAUAUGAAUUUAGUUGUGCGAUAAACAGAAGUCUAGAGCCAAUAAAUUACAAGAGAACCAUCAAAAUGUAGCAUAUUCAGAUAAUGAACUGAGUAAUAUCAACAAUGUGAUUGCAGACGAAGUGAAAAAGUAAAUCAGGUUACUUCUUAACAAUGUUAGAUUGGUAUGAGCUGAAAAUAACGACAGAAAAGACAACAUGAGCUGGUAGGUUUACAUGGAGACAUUGAAAAACAAUGUUGUGAAUAAUUAUUGUGUAACAAUAUUUAAUAAGCUGUUGAGUUCUGACCCAUGUUUGUAUUGUAUGGCAUAGAAAUUGCCGAAGUGCAUGCAGGCGAGGUUUACUUGCUGUGCACCAACACUGAAACAUGCAAAAAAAAAUGCAGAUCAGGAAAUUAGGAACUUAUCAAACUUAUUUUAAACUGAGACGUCAACUCAAUAAUAUUCCCAAGGAGCCAUUUCCUAUCAUGAUUGUCAACUCCAUGAAUUGUUUGAUGAACCAGAAAAAAACACCAUUGCCGUCAUGUGCAAUGGCAGAUCAGUAGUACCAGAAAUAUUCAGAAAACGACAAAGUUUUUCUUGACAAACCAUGAAAUUGUCAUGAAUACCGACAAAUCCGCUACACGAGACACAACUACGAUCAGGUCUUCUAAUUUUCGAUAUACGACACCCGAAUCACGUCCAUGACGUAGACACCCUGCGCCUGACAAAUCUGAAUAGAAACAACACCGUUCCAAUGGAGAAACAGAAAAAAUGGCCAUUGGUGUUAUGUAGAAUUGCAGAUCAUUAAUACCAGCCAUGCUUAUAAAACAACAAUUUAUUUCAUGUUCGGACUAGAAUUAUGGCAUUGCCCAAAGAACAGACACGAUAGUAGAACAAACAUUUGCAAAACGACAAAAGUUCCCCUCGCCAAGCUAUAUGAUUUGAUUGAAAUUGGGAAGAAUACCAAAAAAAAUUGUUACACGAUAUAUGACUAAACUCAUCUCUUCUACCUAUGGCUAUACGGCGCCUGUAGAAUGACACGAACCUCAAUUGUGCGGCCGUGUCGUGAGGUACGCACCCCGUGCCGACACAUCCAAAUAAAGAACAACAUCAAUGCCGUGGACAAACUAGAAAAAACACAAUUAGAGAUACAUAGAAUAGCAGAACAUUAAUACUAGAAAAACCACCAUUAGUAAUACACAGAAUAGCAGAUCAUUAAUACCAGGAAUAUUCCGAAAACGACAACAAUUUAUCCUCAUCAUUGAUAUUUAUCGGGAUACCGGUAACUCCGUUACACUAAACGCAACUAAACUCGAUUCUUCUAAUUACGCCUAUGGGGCAGUGCAACCGACAAAUAAGAAUCACUCGCCCAGUAUAAUAAACAGAUCUGAAUCGCACGACAUUGACGCAGUGGGCAAACAAACAUAGAGUUAAAAAUAAGCAGGUGGAAGAGAGAGAAAGGGUUUAUGUUGGUCAUCACCUGGAGGUGCACCGCAUGAGAUGCUGCGUCAGGGCUUCCACCUCAUCAAAGUCCACUUUGGGCUCCUCCCUGCGAUUUCCAGAGCAGAUAAUUAAGAUAAGUCAGUACCAAACAGAGAGUAGAGGGAGAGAUGAUAGAGGGCGUGGGGGGCGGACAUCAGGAUGUCGAUGUCGUCGAUGAUCUUGGAGGCGUCGUAGAUGAAGAGGCGGGAGACCUCGACGGCGGUGCCCUCGUCCCGCAGCUCCUCGAACGUGUCCUCGUCCAUGACACCCUAGAUCGACAUCAACCACGGCAAGGCAAACUCAUAGGCCAAGUCAGGCCAAAUUCCACAACCACACGACUAGAGGGGAGGGGAGGGGCCUCACAUCAGUGUACAUGCCGGUGAUAUGAGCGUUGAGCUGCGCCCUCAGUGCUGCGGCUGCCAUGGCAAGGCGAGGAGAAGUCCGGCGGUCCGGGGGACUGAGCGGUGGAGAUGGGGGAAAUUCGGCUGCGGAUGCGGAGUGAACAAGGACGGGAUCGAGGAGGAGCGGAGGUUGUAUAGCUGGGCUCACGAGGGUCUCUCACGUAGGCGUUUGGCAGCGAGUGCUCUACUAGCUGUACUGCGUCGUCGGCCGGGCGCCAUUAGUUAGCUUGGAAACGGCCCGCGUGCGUAAUGCGUGCAUGCAUCAUGCAUUCAGGCAUGGAACCACCGGUUGUGUGUCCACGUGUUCAUGGAAGUGAGCGUCUGUUUCAACUUUAAUCUCUUUUCCUUUCAUAAAAAACUUUAGUCCCUCACAAUGCUUAUAGGGACGAAUAGAAGACCAUCCACUCUCCUCUGUCUCACUUGAGUGAAUUGGUUUCGAGAGCAUUCCACCACUUUUUAUGAUUUUCACAGUUUCACUUUCAACCCGAUUCACCGCCUACAUGCCCUUUACGUCCAGUCAUUCCAAAGAGUACUUGCCCCCCACCCCUUGUCUUAGCGCGGCUGCUGGCACGCAGUUACCGGGGCUUCUUCCUCUAGUUCUGCCGUGAUCGCGCACUCGACGUAAGAGCUUUACAAGGAGCAUUGACCUUCUUCACUAACGCGAGAUUGCUGGAUUGGGCUUUCGCCCAUUGUCCAAGAUUCCCCUCUGUUGCCCCCCAUGGGAGUUUGGGUUGUGUCUCAGUCCCAGUGUGGCUAAUCAUUCAAAAAGACCAGCUAAGCAUCAUUGGCUUGGCCAGCAUUUACCUGACCAACUAACUAAUGCUACGCAGGCUCAUCAAACAAUGCUUUGAACUUUCUUCAGAAUUCGGCCCAAACUAUUCAACAGAUUCCCACGCAUUACGCAUCCGUUCGUCACUUUGUUCUCACCUAUUCCGAUUAAUUCCAGCAAACGGAGGCUGUUAGGUCAAAGCCGCAGCGCACGCCCUAUAGUUUUGAAGCAAGGCGAGACAACUUUAGCUAUGGGGAGACCUAACCAAACAUGGCGGUCAACCCCUAGAAUAAAUCAUGCUUCACGAGUUUGCGAGCUUCAACAUUCAAGCUCCUAAAUUCAUGGCUAAUGAUACAAUUAGUAAAAGUAGCCUUCCGAUCUAUGAUCCAUGUAUGAUUGCUCUGUAUAUAGCUGCGCUCUUCUGAUGUAUAUCUGCAACACUACCUUGAAAUCUGAAGCCACCUGAAUCUUCCUCUCAUAGAGAUUAUCAGCAAGCGCAAGUGCCACCCUUAUUGCUGAAGAUUCGACAGUAGCAAGAUCUAAUAUAUGUGGGAACACAAUGGCUGACACACCCAGAAAAUUACAUGCUUGAUCUCUGCAUAUAGCUCCCAUUGCGCCUCGAGUGCCGCCUGGUCCAACCACCGAACCCACAUUGACCUUCACCAUUGCUUUGGGUAGCGCUCAGCUUAGUUAAGUAACUCUGCACAAAAGCCUGAAAAGUGAAAGGACUUUUAUAUAUCUCCUCAUGUAUAGCUUUGUGCCCAGCUCCCCAUAUCAUCCGCAAAAGUGAUCGUAAACAUGAUAAAAUCCUCCUCAUGUGAUAACACCUCAUGCAUGGUGAAUAGCCAUUGUUUGGUGUCAUCAUUUACAUUCAGACUCAACCGCUCGACAAUUUGCUCGUAUGAUAGUGCCCACAUGCUCCUUGAAACCAAGCAAUUCAGCAGGGCGUGCCUGCACGUAUCAUUAGACCCGCACAAACAACAAGCACUCAUCGUCGACAUGUUUCUAUGAUGAAGAAGGACAUUGUGAGUAUUGUGCUAAUCUCCACAUGAACACCUUGAUUUUCGAGGGGCUUUUAUAUGCCAUAAGUCUGUCCAUCCUGGACAAUCAGCCUCUGAGUUUGAUCGGCCGCCCUGCUCAUACAGCCAUGAUUCUCUAUUGAUCUUGGUUCACUGUAUCAUCUUGUAAGCGGAAUCCACAGUGAACAUACCCCUUCUAUCCUCACUUCAAGCACAAAAUCAGAUAUAUGUCUCGUGCAAAGAGGGAUCUUCAAUAUAGUCUCGGCAUCAAUGGGAAUAAGUUACGAUUAAAUAAGUUCAUCCGUUGACGACAUAGUGUAAUCAGUGUGUUCAGCGACCCUUGUCGGCGGCUGUGGUAUUUGUGAAGUUCUUGGCCUCUUUAUAUGCUCUCUAGUUAUCUAGUUGUCAUUCCAAAUAUCAGGGGAUUCUCUAUCUCCUAAUCUCCAUAUCAAACCAUGAGUCGUUAUGUCUUUCCCAUGCAAAAUAGCCCGCCAUAUCUGUGAUGGGUGUGGUCCCAAGGUUGCAUCAGAAAGAGAGUUAUUUGGAUAGUAGAAAACUUUUAAGAUUAAUGAACUCAGAGAACCGGUAUGGUCUAGCAAGGUACAGGCUUGCCUGGCAAGUAGGGCUAGAUUAAAGAUCUCAAAUAAUCGGUCUCAUCGUAACAUCCCAUGAGACCCAGCAUGGCUUCCUUCUCCCAUGUUUACUUCCCUACCAAAAUUGUUGGAUUGAAGAGGUGACACUCGCGCAACAUCCUCGCGGGAAACAGAAGCGGGCCAUGGAAUAUACCGGAAUUGCCUAUGCCAUAGAGUUUAUCAAAACCUCUUUACCUGUAGUUGACAGGAGCUUUUCCAUCUAUCCUCUCAGCUUUUCCGAAACUCUGUCACGUAAGUAUUUGAAAGUCAUGUUCUUGGACUGCCCCACAUCAGUUGGCAUACACAAUUUCCUGUCAUUGAGCGACUCAUUUUAGACGUUCAAAGUAUGCUUGACAUCUUCCUUGAGAGCCUGAGGGCAUCCUCUCUAUUGCAAAAUAUAAAGGACUUGCCAUGAUUUAUUCUUCGUCUGGAUCCCAACCAAUAAUUCUCUAGUAGGUUUGAUACUUCAACUGCCCAAUCAUGACUUGACUUAAAAAGCAAGAUGUUGUCAUCUGCAAAAAGUAGAUGGUUCACAGCCAAAGUUGUUGGUGCCACUUAAGCGUGAUGAAGAAGAACUGGAUUUCAGGAGGCAUUAAAGGCCCUCUACUGCAAUUAAGAAAAGAUAUGGGGAUAUUGGAUCUCCCUGCCGGAUAACUCUUUUGGGUUGUAAUUGAUCAAGUAUCCCACGAUUAAAAAGAACCGAGAAAGAUACCGUCUGAACCAUGCCCAUAACUAUUUGUACCCAUGUAGGAGAAAACCCCAAUUUCAACAUCGUGGCUUUAGAAUAGUCCCACUCCAACCUAUCAUAUGCCUUCCUCAUAUCGAGCUUCAAAGCAUAGUAGCUACUAACUUUUUCCCUCGCUGCAUUUCAUGAAAUGUAAGAACUCAUAUGCACUAAUAAUAUUAUCCGUGAUCAUUCUUCCAAGGACAAAAAUUGAUUGCUCCUCAGAUAUGAUAUCAGGAAAAAUUUGCUUCAAUCUAUUUGCAAUAACCUUGGAAGCUAUCUUGUAUAAAACAUUGCACAACUGAUAGGCCUAAAUUUUGUUAAGAGGGUUUGGUUUUUUACCUUUGGAAUCAAAACCAGAAUUGUAUCAUUGAUGCAUUCAGGUCUAUCUUCCCCUCUCACGAUUGUCAAAACCGCCUCUAUUACUUCUUUACCACAAAUAUCCCAAUGAUGCUAAUAAAAAUGGGCAGGGAACCCAUCAGAGCAUGGAGCCUUCAUUGGGAACAUUUGAAAUUGUGGCACCCUGGCUCAGAGUAACCGGUUUACCUUGCAUUGACAGCCCAGAGAUCAAGUCUUCUGGCAACACAUAACAACUUGGUACAUACAUAACCGCUUUAUUGAUCUCUUGCGGAUACAUAGGUUUGAUGAUUACAUAAGAAAGCGAGGCCAAGCGGCACACACGGUGCGACUCCACUAUGUACAUUAUCUAUUAAACAUCUCAAGGGCCUUGAUGCUAGAGGAUACAACUACUCAGUAGCGAAACAAUGAGCUAGCAGAACUCCAUGCCACAAGGACACUACUAGGACACAGCCUAGAUCGUGAAGUACCGAUCAACCUCAACUCCUUGCACGGUUUCUCCUGCAUCUGGCAUGACGCACCAGGUGGGUACUUUGAAUGUAGUCGCAAGCUCACAGCAAAAAUGACAAACAAUAACAUGGAAUGAACAAAUUAAACAUGAUCAUUAGCAUGAUGUUACCAAUCGCAGUGUGCAAGAGUGGAAUACCGUCAUGGUCCCUUGGACCAACUUACCCAUCUCAAGGGUUACCUCGUAACCACCAUUGAUAGCAACCAUACCAUCGUGAUCAACACACGAUCACCUCAAGAUCAACUGACUUCUUCUUGUGCAAGCUCGAGGUUCAUAAGUGUGCAAGUUAAUUAUUUAUCUUGACCCAUAGUGUGACCUACUACAAACUGUGUCCAUAACCGAGGACGUGGCUAUCGAUAGAUUAUACACUCUACAUAGGCUAGUACACUGUACCCACACUAUGGAACUCAUGGCCUCAUGCUCCCAUUCGGGUGGACUAACGAGGUUCCAACAAAACCAAUCUAUUAUAUACACUCUCCCGACCACUCCGAAAAACUCCUGUCUGGGCUAUGCCAUGGGUCACCCCUAUGUCAACUCGUGAAUCCGCCACCUUUGUGGCCGCCACCGCCGUGGCCAACCAAACUUUAUCGUCCCAAACGGGGACCUCGAUACUAUAAAACUUGGGCUCAAAAGGUUAUUGACGCCUACUGGGCUAGGGUAGCACGUGCACAUAACAUUCCCUCGUUAGAGGCACCGGCGAGAGGCAUGAUAAUAGAGCGAAUUAGAACAUCCUCAUCCAAGAAAGUGUGGUUGCACUAGUGAGCUCGAUUCGGUGGCACUAUGACUCUAUUAAUAGCUUUGAUCAAGUUUGAUUAUAGUCAAGUUUAACUUGAAUGAAAAUGAUUCGAGCCAUAGAAUGCAAUAGGGUGCAUGAUAGUGAGCUAAAUGGUGGAUGAAUCCUAACUUAACCAUAUAACAUUUACUCUACUGUCUACAACAUACAUAUGACAUGGAAAUUAGCAUUGUUUGACAUGAAAAAUAAUAACAAACAACAAUGGUUAUCGUGUUAUUAUCUCUCAAUGCGCCAGGGGAAAUAAAAAAUUGCGGGCGUGCCAGUGUACUAAGUACACAAAUAAACAGAGGGAAACAUGCACUUUAUUAAUCUCUCAGUGGAGAAACAAAAUUACAAGAUCCCUUUACAUAUGCGCUCCGUGGCCUACUAGCGCGGCCUGCCUGACUGUGGCGAUUGCGGUCUCCUGGUUCCCAGGGCCUCGGAAGGCUCCCGGUUAAUUACUCCCGCGGGUUGCUUCGCGAGAUACCUUCAAUUAAGCUGUGUGGUCGUCUUCGUUGUCUUCGCUUCUCGUCCUCCAUGCAUGAUGAUGGUGAUGUGUGUGUGGGCAGCGGCAGAGCCCGUGUCCUCGUCGGUACACACGCCGCAAGUGGCGUGGUCUUAGCGGUGGCCGCGCCUGCCCUGGCCGUCGUGCCUCGUCGGUCUUGGCGGCGUUGGAGUAGUUGGUGUUGGGGUAGCAUGGGUCGCGGUCGGCUCAGACUUCUUGAUGACAUGUUGCUUCAUCGGGGUGUUCAAGAGGCUACGCCUUGCGGGAGUAACAGUUUGGGGAGACCGGCGUCAGUGUAAAAACUAACGGACACACGCUCACAUUGGCGUGGCCGGGGUGGUUGGCGCCUCAUCUUGACUAGACGCCAAGUAUUUGGCGGUCUGCCAAGGCAAAGGCGCCGCCUCACAGGGCCGUGGAAAGUGGUGUCGCAAAGGCCGCAUCGCCUUGGGCUGGUACUACGUGAAAGAGUGACCUGUGCGCCGGCGAUGCCAUGGACCUAUACACUAAGGACCUGUCCGCCAUGGUGGGUGUGCCUCUCGAAGGAGGGACUAUCUUGGACAGCGUCGUUGCAACAUUCGUUUCAGUGAAGGAUCUGUACGCCAUUGACCUGUUCGUCGGGGACGCGGGCCUCAUGAAGGAGGGACCGGUCUUAGACCCGUCGUUGCGGAUAUUGGUUCCACCAAGGAUCUGUACGUCGUGAUGGGAAAGGCGGGGGCUGCGUUGUCGGCGAGCUCCGGUUCCGCCGCACCGUCCCCUCCAAGAGUGUGACGCAAAACCUGUCCACCGUGGCCUUGUUCGUCGCAAUCUGUGCGUUAUGAAGGGAAAAGCGAGACUCGGGCUGCGUCGUCAGCGAGCUCCGGUUCCGCCAUGCCGUCUCCUCCAAGAGCGUGAUGCAAAACCUAUACGCCUGUGUAUCCUUUGCCAUGAACCUGUUCACAAUGGCCCUGUUCGUCGCAAUCUGUGCGUCGCGACCUGUACACCAUGGGCUAUUCGCCGAGCGCCAUGAAGGCCGCCAUGGUAGAGCGCCGGGGCUAGCGGUUGGGCCGCGUCGUUGGCGAGCUCCGGCAGCUCCCGAGUCAUCUCCAGCCAAGAACAUGACACCUGAAAAUAAAAGGCUUGGCGUAGACGAUCUCCGGCGGUGUCAGUGCAGUCUACUGUUUCGGUGCAGUCAUCUCCGGCGGCGGCGAUGGGAUCACACGAGGGUCAUCUCCGGUGACCGGCACAUACUCUCCGCGUAGCGAAUGCAUGCUAGAGAGGAGACAGAAGAAAAUAGAUGUAUUAGAUCAAAAUCUCACCCUUCGGGAACAUAAGCUUGGUGUCCAUGUCGCUGGCGCUGGUGUUCUCGCCCGGCUGCGUUGGCCCGUCGAUGCUAUCUGGUCUUCUGCCUGGUGAGUUAUGGUGGAUGAAGUGCAGCGUGAUGGAUGAGUACGAUCUAUGUGGGCGCUCGCAAAUUGAUGUGCAGCCUUGCGGCGUGGGUUCUCCCUCUCUGGCCGUGCGUGCGUGUGCAGGGCGACGGCGUCUACGCGUGCGUGCCUCUCUCCUCGUGCCUUUUUUUCCUGCGAAUGGCCUUGUGCCUCUUUAUAUAGGCAGCGGGGUGGGAGCUGGCGAUGCUCAGCCAAGGCCACGGCCUAGAUAUGGACUGUAACCAAUCCAUCUAUCUUCGCUGCUUAUCAUUUCAUUAUUUUUCUUGGCGCACACUUCUGCCAAAAACAAAACAAGACCGAACCAAAUAACACACGUACAUGGCUGGCUGUAGGUGGGCCGAUUCGACUGCCGAAAAUAUGACUCUCUGGCCGUCUCCAAAGCUCACCCAUUUGUAAUUUAUUUUAUACAGAUUAUACGGGUAUUCGGGUAUGUAUGCAUGCUUGCCGGCCGGUACAUGGGUAUUCAGAUACGCAUACGAUCCGACCGAGACGUCUUCUGGGACGUGAACUGCACCAAGUCUUACAUCUACCUGAUUAACUCGUGAGUAGCCUAGCUCAUACCAGGCAUGUGAUUGGCAAAACAAAUACACUUGCAUGCAUGCAUGGUACGUCAAGCGAACCUAGUCAAAUAUGUGCAGGCAUGUACGUGUACAUCCAAAUAUCAACAUGGACGUGUAACUUGCACUAAAAUAAAUUGCAUUUAGACUUAGAUUUCUGAAAGCAAGAAGCACAAAAACACCUCAAACAAGCAUAAUGUAAAAAGUAGCAUGCAGGUAAUAGUUUAAAUUCAUAAGGCAUAUAAGUAAUCUAUAUUCAAUUGGAACCAAAUCCAUUGCAAUGCCAUCUUGCAAAUGAAUGUUGUGGCUUGCCUUAGUUCAGAGGAGUGUCACGAUACUCCUGGUCUUCUCACAUAGAAUUAGUUUCUUCUAAAAAUAAAUUUCAUAACAAAAAGAAAAUGUCACAUAAAGCUUUUUCUAAUACCAUAAAUUCUAGACAGCAAGGGAUAAUCUCAAAUUGCACCAACAUAAAGUUCAGCUCAUGACGAAACUAUAGCAAAAAGUUCAACUCAUUUGGACUUUUGGUUUAGAAAUCAUAGCUAGUCAAAGUUUGGGUCAAAAUCUAAUUUUAAAUUGAAUUAACAGAAAUUCUAAGGAGGGCCACGUCGAAGGCGUUUUUGCUAGGGCGCCUCCAUAGAAAAUGAUUCGGGGGGAAGAGAGAAGCUUACCAGUAUGGUCCCCGUGUUAGGUUUAGGAGAGAGAAGGAGAGAGAGAGAGAGAGAGUAGAGGUGGGCGGCUAUUGCCAAUGAUCCUCCUGUGAGGAGACCAUGGCGGCUGUCGGCGAUGGUCGUGAUGGGUUCAGAACAGCGUGGGGAGCACGCACGUCCCCCUUGCUUGGUCGGAGGUGGACGAACGGCGAGGCUGGCUUCCUCUCCAGAGAAGAUGGGCAAUCGAGCUCAUCGGAGUCGGUGUUCCCGAUAUUGUUCCGACUGAUCAACUACACCGUCGUGCUCUAGAGAUCAAUACGAGCUCGCCUGAAGAAGUCGUGGAAGCAGAGGAGGGCAGGACCGAGAGAAUGGUCUAGGGGGAUCCGCAGGCAACUCCAGCGAUGGUUGAAGACAGGAGGCCCUCCUAGCCUUGCCCCGCUCGUCGGUGGUCAACUUGUGGCCAGUGGAGGAGUGGUGGAUAGUUUGACCAGCUAGGGAGGGGUCUAUUUAUAAGAGAGAGGGAGAUGCCGAGCACCGAGCACCGCCAUGAGGAAGCUAGCGGAGCUCUGGCGAGGCGUGUAGCUCGGGCACGGGUGGUGAAGUGACUAGAGUGGCACGGGGUGAUGUAGAUGCAUGCGGGCAAAGCUAGGGCGCGCGAUGUGGGUCAGGCGACGCACUAACGCACACUAUUCCCGCACGGGCACGCCGUGUCCGCGUCCGGCGAGCCUCUUGCCGACGUCGGGAAGGACUUGGAGCUGGCCAAGUGGAAGAGGAGAGCAAGUGAGGCGGCGCGGGCAAGCUGUAGUGUCGCAAGGGCGGCAUUUGGGUGACGGCCGAGGGUCCCGGCGUCCAGAGCGCGCGCAUUGCAUGUCGAACAACUGCAUCCCGCAUGGUCACUGCAUGAAGUGGCACACGCGGGACUUUAGGCCAACAGGCCAAAAACCAGGGUGUCACAGAGAAAGAGUGCAUUUUUGAGUUCCUCGAGUGUGUAAGGGGAAACUAGCAUAUCAUUCAUCUCAGUUGUGACCUUGCUUGGGACAUUUUUUUAGUAUUAUAUCCAUAUAACUUACACCCUCAGAUGUAUACAGAGAUUUGUAGAAUUCAUGGACCAUGUUUUUCAACUCCUUCGAUCCUCCGCCGUUACACCAAGAGAAUUCUGCAAAGCUUUGGUCAUAUUUUUCUUCCUCGAGAUGCUAGCCUGAAGAUGGAAAAGCUUCAAGUUUUUGUCUCCCGAAGCCAACCACUCAGGUCUUGCUCGUUGCCGCCACAUCACCUCCUCACGAUGGUACAUCUCUACUAAUUUUUCAUUGAUUUUUAGCUCGGCGUGAGUGGGAACCGUCCUGUUUGGAUCAGACCAAAGCUUUUCUGAUUCUCGCUUUGUUUUGAUCUCCUUGCAUACACUGCCAAAUGUAUCAUUGUUCCAGCGCAAGAGACGGCUGCCAACUUCGUACUCAACUCGUUUGUUCCGAAGGUGGUACCCGAUGCAGCCAUGUCGUGUUAAUCAUAUCACCCCAUUGCUCAUGUCCUUCCCUCAUAACCUCGUAAAACGGUCUUGCCCUUGUGUUUGUUGGGAAACGUAGUAGAAAACAAAAAAGUGCCUCUACGCACACCCAAGAUCAAUAUGAAGAUGCAUUACGUGUUGAGGUCAUGAUUAUUGCCGUCUCCGUGUUGCAGCAGAAAAAUAACGUGUCAGUUUAGAUCAUACUUGGAGUCCCUUGAACCUUCGAGGAACAAUCCCGCAAACCGCUGACGAACAAUGCCUCGAAUUGAAGACUGAAAGCACAGUCUCUCUACUUGUUUGCAAGCGUGCAACCUUCAUGACCUGGUAGCGCUUCGCCGUUUACUCUUGUCUACUUACACUGAGCUAAAGCAACUCUAAUGGUGUUAAAUCUUGCAACAAGAGUAAGAAAGAUUCUUCUUCUAAUAGUAACAAUAAUCAUGCUAAACCCAAUGUUGUUGCUUCUAGUAGUUCUCUUGAGUCCACUAAUGAUCCUCUUAGCCAAGUUACAUUUGAUCAAGAAAAUAGCUAAUUAAAGGGAAUUAUAGAGAAAGGUGUUUACAAGAGCCUUGCCGGAAGUAAGCAAUUUGAGGAAAUUUUAUGCAAGCAAGGAAGACACCGGAAGAAUCAAGGAAUUGGUUUUGAAUGAAGGUUUAAUGCCAAUGGAGUUGAGUGGGAAGAAGAUCAAUACCACAAGAAGAAGUUUGUUCCUCAACAAAAGAAGUAUGAUCCUACUUCUUUCCAAGGAACACAAGCUCAAGAUGUUCUUCCACCACAAGACCACAAGCAAAAAGGCAAGGACAAGCUUCAAGAGGAGAUUGAUGCAUUUGAAGAAUCUCCCAAAGCCUUGGUCAAGUGGGUUCCCAAGACUACAUCAAGUUCAACUUCAUCGAGUACGACUACAACUCCAGGGGUUCCCAUCAAGAUGGUGUGGAUCCCGAAGAAAAAGAACUAGAGAGUUCUUGAGGGUGACUCCGCCAACACUUCACUCAUAUCUUUUGGCAAGGACACGUGCAAAAAACUUCCAUAUCUUGCACUAGUUCAAGGAGUCACAAACCCUCUUGUUGAUAAGACAAGGGACAAGGUAACCUAAUGCUUUCAUGGACAUCAUCUUAUGUGAACAUCACUCUAUGUCUAUGGAUAUCCUUGUUUGUUCCUUGUGGGACUAACCCGUGUAGGUAUUGAAAGUGCAACUCACUCUAAUGGAUUUCUCUAAAUGAUCUACAUCAACAUUGAGCAUCUACAUCUUCAACACCUACAUGAAUUCAUCAUCGACAAAACCCAAGGUUAGUUCAUCCCUCUUAGGGGGGGAUAUCACAUCUAGGUGGAGCUUUACUCUAAUCAAUUGAGCUAAAGGAACUCUAAUGGUGUGAACACAACAAUGCUUUAUAUAAAAGUGGCAACCCCACUUAUGCUUAAACGAUGAGUAUGACCUAUGAUCAAAUGUUCUCAUUUGACUCCUCAGUCAAUAUACUCAUAUAUGGAUGACCUAGUCAUCGCUAAUUGCUUGAUAGAUUCUAGAGUGUUUGUGCAUGCUCUGCCACAAAUUUCAUUUGUCAUUUUAUUGUGUGAGCAUGUUGGUUGCAUAUUUUACACAUUCGAGGACAUCUACUUAUUGUUUUGAUUGGUUGGCAUUUUCUCUUUUGCCAAGUGGAUGAACAAGAAGGCCUAAGAACCUCCUCUAGCUAUCUAUGCAUUUCUCGUCAGUUUGAUCAAGUUAAACUAGAACCACUCUGUGUGAGGAGCACUCAGAGUCCCCGAUUCGUCGUAGACUUAAAUUUCCAAAACCUCUUUGUGCAUUUCGGUAUGACCGAGUCAUCCACUUUGUUCACACCGAGUUCACUAAGUUAAUCUAGGUUUUCCAUCUCGGUGUAACCGAUUUGAACUUUUCACUCACAUCGAGUUGCAGUAACCGCUUGCGAUUCUGCAUCUCGGUGCCACCGAGUUGUUCCACUCAGUCACACCGACAGGGUCGGGAUAUAUAUACCGACGGGUUGAAUUUUUGAAAUUUCUCUAAAACACUUAACCCCGCACAUGUCCUGCUCUGCCUCCUCGGGUCUCUGGAUCGUCUCCUCGCCGCUAGUGACCUCCCGCCGCUAGUCUCUGUCGCCGUCAACGGAAUUCUGCUCCGCCGUUGUCGCCGUAGCGAACUCCCACCGAACUAGGGUAUGAGUUCGACUCUUUGUGCUAUUUCCCAACUCCGAUUCGUAGAACAUUACUUUGCCAUGAUAAUGACCAUGUAUGCAAACAAUCCAUCCACUAAAAACCUCCUUUAGAUUAGAUUGGUUUUGAAAAUUUAGGGUUAGGCCUCCGUCGGACUCAUCUCGGACCGACCGAAUUGUAGAAAUCGGUCUCACUGAUUUGGCUUAGGCCGUAGCACAUGCAUUUUCGGUCUGACCAAAAACUGCAAAUUGGUGUGACCGAGUUCGAUUCUCUGUGAAAUCCUAGCAGUCUUGGUGCCACCGAACUGUGACUCGGUCUGACCGAGUUCACUAGUUUAGGUUCCAAAAGUUGCUUCGGUAUCAUCGAGUUUAUCAAAUCGGUAGCUCCGAAAUGCUUUCUGUGGAGAACUAAAACUAGGUUAUUAAGUCAUUUGUUUUGCAAAAACUUUGGACUUUGUGAUGCUCAUCCACUCUACCUCAUCGACAUCUAUUCAUAGGGUUUGCUGUCAGUGAUUUCCAGGAUGUCUGACCAGAGUGACAGUCGGAACAAAUCUGAGGAACAUGUGAGGGUUCAGAUCCAUCAAGCACCUCAGAUGAUGGCAGCAGGAGCACUCCUAGUAACUUGCCAAAGGCAGCCACCAGGACAAGGAAGAAGAAAACCUCAGACUGUGAGGAUGAAGACUAUGUGGCUGUUGAGGAUGAGGCCACCUCAAAGAGGAAAGUGUUGAAUAAGGAGUAUGGCUCAGCUGGUACAACAGAGUCAGGGAUGCACAAGAAGGCUCCUACCAAGAGAAUGCCAACAUCCAAGCCUAGGAAAGCAGCCUUGGAAGAAAUUAUGGAGUUCACUCUUGAACCCAAAGAGGCUGGAGAAGGCAAGAAGAGAAAGGAGAGGGUCAAGAAGACCACUGCCAGAGUUCUAGGGAGAUCAUCCAUGUUCAAGGAUCCCGCGGAAGAAGAGGAAGAGGAAGAGGAUGCUCCAGCACCCAAAGCUCAGAAAAUUAUGGGAGAUGCAAUUAAGUCAAGGGCUGCAACAUCGAAGCCCAAGUCUGCUCCCAAAGCUCGAGCUCAGAAGUCAAAGCCCAAGGGAAACACUAGAAGUAUUCCUGCAGAAGAGAAGGACAAGGCCCAGUGCCUCAAGCUGAAGAAGAGGAUGAUGAGUCUCUUGUUUUGAGGAAAUUGAAACCCAAGAUCCUAGACCACAAUGAUACUCAUCUAGUGGCUGAAGACAUGCACAUCAGAAAAGAUGUUGGACUGAGAUUGUGGAGACAGUCUGAUCCCUAUGCUAUGAGGAGAAAGACUGCAAUUGACUACAUGUUCCACACAAAAGAAUAGCAAGACUUCUAUGAAACUAUUUUGCUUGACAAGAAACCCAUUGUUUCUGACAUGAUAUGGGUUGAUUGGGAAUUCAUCAAGGAUAAUGAAGAUCAUUUCCCAGGAGUAUAUGACAGCUUCAAAGCAUGUGGAGUAGAUGAGUUUGUUGGACAGAAGCUCACAAAAUGGAAUGAUGAGCUGAUCAUGCAGUUUUACUCCACUACUCAUUUUUACCCAGAUGGGAAGAUCAUAUGGAUGUCUGAAGGUACUAGGUACCAAUCCACUGUUGAAUAAUGGGCCAAGCUGAUCAAUGCCCCAGAGGAACAUGAGGAUGACUUGGAUGUGUAUGCCAAGAAGAAGAAACACCGCAACUCCAUGGCAAACAUGUACAAAGAGAUCCCUGAUAAAGCUUUGGAGACUCACAGGCUUGGAUCUGUACAUUACUUGAUGUGUGGUCUGCCUACCAUCAACUGGAUCCUAAGGCACACAUUACUACCCAAGUCAGGAGAUCACAAGAUGAUCAGAGGACAUUCCAUCAACAUGCUGCAAAUCUUUGAUGUCCCUCAGAAGUUCAAGGUCAUGAGUUUGAUUGUAGAGACAAUCAAGAGGACUGGUACUGACCAAAAGAGAAGUUGUGGGUAUGCUCCGAAUAUUCAGGAGCUCAUCAAUUCUAAGAUGGGCACAGGAACAUACUUGUUGGACAAGGAGCAUCUACCCCUUUAUCCUGAAUUUGAAGACAACACAGUUGUGAUGAAUGAGGAGGAACCAUCUUCAGUACAAGCACAAGAGAAGUGAGCCAAAGCUAAGGCAGAGAAAGCUGCAAGGAUGCCAAGUGCAGAAGAAGCAUCUCAGGUGUUCCUCAAGUCAAAACAAGAUCAAUUAGGCUAUCUGUUUCAAGCUGCACUAAGGAUUGAGAAGGGCUUGGCCACCCUGACUCAGAAUCAGGAGAGCCUGGAGAGGAUUGUUGAGACAAAAUUCUAUGACCUUGACCUCAAGGUAACUGAGAUAUAGACUGUAGUUGAGCAGCUCCAGGAGGAAGCAGAAGAGAGGAGAGGGAAGGCAACUACUGAUGCUUUUUAGCAUGUGCCACGAGGUCAGAGGUCUACCGCAGUGCCAGUACCAGUCUCUAGAACUACUCUGUUAGCACCAGCAGCUACAGCCUCAGUACCACCUCCUACAGCCACUCCACCAGCUCCAACUACAUCGACAGAUGCCUUCGUCCUUGGAGUUCUCUCUACACCACCUCCCGAAGACCGAGCCUGAGAGACGCAUAGCACUAUGCAUUUUCAAACUUUUUGGUAACUUCUUGCCAAAGGGGGAGAAAUAUGUAUAGAUAAUAGGCUUCAAGAGAGUGUGUGUUGUUUUUUAUCUCUCUUGUUUUUGGUUGAACCUUUUUAUGCGCUUGGUUGAUACACUAUGUCUUUGUCUGUGUGAGAUACUUGUUUGAUCAUGUGUUUGAUCAUAUGCUACCUUAAUGCUUGCUUGAUUGAUAUUAUCUGUUAUAUUCUUAUAUGAUCAUUCACUUUGCUUGGUGAUGAGUGCAUGCUUUUAAGUUAUAUCAUUUUGAGCGCUCCACCAAGAUGUAUGUGACAUGGAAGAGUAACUCAUGAUCCUAAUCGAUUGUGCAUUUGCAUUCAAAAGAAAAUUUUAAAUAAUGCACAAAUUUAGGGGGAGCUCUUGCUUAUCACAUACUUCUCAAAGUGACGAUGUAUUUCAAUCUUAUAAUCAUUUGUUGAAGCUUUGAUCUAUAUGUUGUCAUCAAUUACCAAAAAGGGGGAGAUUGAAAGUGCAACUAUCCCUGGGUGGUUUUGGUAAUUCCUAACAACAUAUAGCUCAUUGAGCUAAUACUAUUUCAAGAUAAAUAUUUCAGGAAAGCUCAAUGAUUGGCAUGGCAUGGAUUAGAAAUGUGGACCCCUCAAACUGCUAAGGACAAAAGAUUGGCUCAAGCUCUAAAGCUCGAGACUCUACAUCUUACCUUUUAGUGAUCCAAGAUCACAUUGAGUCCAUAGGAAAAGCCAAUACUAUUAAAAGGGGAUGAGGUGUUGCCUAAUGGGUUACUUGCUAAAAUGCUUAGUGAUAUGCUCCAAAACCCUUAACCACUUUCUCAUAUCCACAUUUGUCCCAAACCAAAAGUCAAACUCGGCCCCACCAAAACUUUCCAUCCAGCACCACCGAGUUCAGUUGACAUAGCCACUGCCACAAAACCCUAGUCUUUUCAGUCUCACCGAUAGGAUCUCGGUCUCACCGAGAUGGGAUUGCAAACUCUCUGUUUCCCUUCGUAAUGUUUCGGUCUAACCGAGAUGAGCGAUCGGUCCCACCGAGUUCACAAUGCAAACUCGGUGUUUCCCCAUCCGAACGUUUCGGUCCAACCGAGAUGAGCAAAUCGGUCCCACCCAGUUUGCCUGACCAACUCUCUGAUUAGCUUAUUACCAAAAUCGGUCCCACCGAGUUUGUGUAACCAGCCUCACCGAGAUUACGUUAUGACCUAACCCUAAUGAAAUCGGUCCCACCGAGUUUGUGUAACCAGCAUCACCGAGAUUACGUUAUGCCCUAACCCUAAUGAAAUCGGUCCCACCGAGUUGACGUGUCGGUCCCAUCGAAAAUCCUAACGUUCACAUUUUGAACUGAAUCGGUCCGACCGAGUUUCACGAUUCGGUCUCACCGAGUUUGGUAAAUUGUGUGUAACGGUUAGAUUUUGUGUGGAGGCUAUAUAUACCCCUCCACCCACUCUUCAUUCAUGGAGAGAGCCAUCAGAACAUGCCUACACUUCCAACAUACAUUUUUUGAGAGAGAACCACCUACACUUGUGUUGAGGUCAAUAUAUUCCACUCCAACCACAUAAAUCUUGAUCUCUAGCCAUCUCUAAGUUGCUUUCCACUCAAAUCAUCUUUCGACCAAAUCCAAAUCAGUGAGAGAGAGUUGAGUGUUGGGGAGACUAUCAUUUGAAGCACAAGAGCAAUGAGUUCAUAAUCAACACACCAUCUAUUACCUUUUGGAGAGUGGUGUCUCCUAGAUUGGUUAGGUGUCACUUGGGAGCCUCCGUCAAGACUGUGGAGUUGAACCAAGGAGUUUGUACGGGCAAGGAGAUCGCCUACUUCGUGAAGAUCUACCCUAGUGAGGCAAGUCCUUCGUGGGUGAUGGCCAUGGUGGGAUAGACAAGGUUGCUUCUUCGUGGACCCUUCGUGGGUGGAGCCCUCUGUGGACUCGAGCAACCAUUACCCUUCGUGGGUCAAAGUCUCCAUCAACGUGGAUGUACAAUAGCACCACCUAUCGGAACCAUGCCAAAAAUCUCCGUGACUACAUUGCGUUUUCUCCCUCCAAACUCCUCCCUUUACCUUCGUGUGCAAUGUUUUACAUUCCGCUGCUAUACCCUUAGACUUGCAUGUGUAGGUUGUUUACUUGACUAGUGCUAAGUUGCUAAAAUCUGUCAAGACUUAAAAUUGGGAAAAGGCUAGUGUUUUAUUUGGUCAAGUAGUCUAAGCACCCCCCCUCUAGACAUAAUUUCGAUCCUACACACUGGGAUUCUACUUAUGAGGAUUAGAGGAUCUAGGUCUAGCUCUAAUUAGAUCAACUAGGAUCAACUAGAACUAGAACUAAAGGAAACAUGAGGAUGCUCCAAACUUGUAUAUGUCCAUAGAGAAAAAAACCCUGGUAUAUAUAGGUUGGAAGGGAGGGAGAGGGCAGCCAUGGAGGGAAAGUCUCUCCUUGGGGCGCCUCCCCCGCCCUCCCACCCACAUACACACACACACACGAGGAAGGGCCGCCAGUUCCUAUUGGGCCAAGUUGGCCCGAUGCUCCUUCCCCGGUUUGGCCUUUUAAUGACCGUUUGUAUUAAAUUUAUUAUAAAAUCCUUCCAAUAAAUAAUAGACCCUUUAUAUAUCAUUUAACAGCCCUGGAAACAUUUUACACCUAUAUAUUAUUUAACAGUAAUACCCUAUAUUAGUCGAUACUCUCCGAAACCCUUUCGGUGACCCCGAAACGCUUACGGAUAUUUAUGAAACAAUUCCACAAACAUAUACUAAUCAUUCCCAUCCUACUAACACUUAGCAGAUCAUAAUUGCCUUAAGCUUGUGACCCCGUAGUUUCGGUAACUCAUAGACAUGAACGAAACCCCUUUGCUCAAUGACCGAUAGCGGAAACGUGGACGUCCAUAUCGAUCCCUAUGAGCACACGAAUGAUAUUCAAGUGAAUAUUUGGUUAUCAUGUGAUGUUCCCUUUGCUUCGCAAUAUUUCACAAAACCCAGGAUACAUCGGUGUCCUCCUGAGUCAUCACAUGCUCACGAUACCAUUAUCCCCGUUACUGGUUUUGUUCUUCUUUCUCGUUGUCGUGUUCCAGCAUCCUCGUGACGUAGUCACAUGUGUCGUGCCAGACGAUGAUUGAUACCAUCACACCGAGAGGGCCCUAAUAAUAUCUCUCCAUCUUCAUAGGAGCCAAUCCCACUCUCAGGCUAUCUAGUCCCUUGUCAAACUUUCUCAUGAACAUGUAAGUUGUCAUUAUGAUCACCAUGUCACAGGUGACGUUUGAGCAACACCAAAGUCCACCGUGCGGUAAGAAGUGAUUACGAUACUCUCAUGGUCUAAGGAGAAAAAUCACACGUUAACAGUCUGUGUUGUUACAAUUGAUUACAGACGAUAUAAUUUCAAUUUGUUACACACAAAUUUUGGUCGAUUCAAUAUGAUCGUUCUUCUAACAUCACACUCUAAAUGUUGUUUUAGGACUAUCGUUACACUUAGAGAUAUCCUAAGAUCUGGAAAACAUGAUCACCAACAACACUUGAGCCAGUCUUAGAGGCAAGAUUGGGAACCUAUUCUUUACCGUUUAUCAUUCCACGCGUGCAUAUGAGUUUUCCACUAAGUCGCCUAUUCCAGUAUCAUGGUAGUUAUAGCAUGAAAUAUACACUCUUAAUUAUGAAAAUGAAAUUAUAAUAAUACAAUAUUAUUGUCUCUAGGGCAUAUUCCCAAUAGUGUUGUGUUGUUGUUGCCGAUGCAAAGUCCACCAAUAUCGCGUCAUGAUCUGAAGUCACGACUGUCAAGUGAGUUUAAUCAGCAAGUGAAACCUUUACUGCCAGUCCACAGAAACCAGCACUCGGUCUAGGCGCACCAUUGUGAAAGUACCACCUGUAACCUUCAUCUCAAAGGUCGGGCCUGAGUAACCAGCAUGCAAACAUCAACCUUUUCUUGAAAAGCUUGGAUCUGCACACUGCUACGUUGUCUAACUCCUUCGUGCUCAUCCGGAUGUAGAACAUCAUUGAAAUUGCCCAAGCAAAGCCAUGGGAGAUUGCUGGAAGUACUAAUGUUUUUAAUAGUAUCCCAUGUUUGGUGCUUCAAGUGGGUAUGAGCUUCACCGUACACUAUUGUAACUCUCCAAGGAUCAAGGCUUGGUUCAAGAAUGGAGCACUCAACAUGAUACACAGAGUAACCCAGAAUAUCUAUUUUAUUUCAUUAUUCCAGAAAAUGCCAAUACCGCCAUUGCUUCCCUGGCUAUCAAUCGCAUAUCCAUUAUCAUACCCUAAUGUUCCUGCUAAAGAUUCUACCCUCGAGACUCUUGUUGCGUUUCUACUAUGUAGAGGAUGGCGGGGGAAAAUUUCCUUGUGAAAUCACAAAGCUCACUGACUGUCGUGGCUCUGGCCGAACCACAACAAUUCCAGCGGAAGACACACAUUGGACAUGGCGGCACUCCCCUCGGGAGCCUAACAAUUUUUCCAUUGGGUUUUUUGUGUUGCCAUCGUUCUUGUGCAACGUGUUCUUAUCUGCUGCAAUUACUUGUCCUUGAGAUGUUUUGUUCCUGCCGAGACGAGGGGCUCGAUGGGAUUUGAGGGGAAGGUAGUGUCGGUGUUUUGCCUUGGGCCGACAUAGUUGUUAUGGCUAACUCAGCUGCCACUGGAUCAACUGUCGCUGCGAGCUCUGAAGUUCGGUUUUUGUUCAGUUCGGCCUUGUGCACAUAGGCAGCAGGGUGCUCAUACUCUGAUUCCCCGCUAGCUUCCUCCUGGGUGCACCCUGGUCCAUGACCGGUCCUGCCACAAAGGCCACGGCCUCGCCCUCUCCCUCCUCCAGGUCCUCUUCCCACUGCCUUGAACCAGCUAGCUCGCAGAUUUUUGAAAACUAGGGCUAACGGUGGAUGCACUCCAUCCCGACAUUCCUUGUACAUGUGGCGCAAAUAACAACAAACCAUGAAUGACUCUGGUAGCCGCUCAUAUGUGACUGUGAAGACCAUAUGUUCAUACACAUUUAACAUUUUUCAAAUUCUUGAGUUACAUUUUUUCAAAUACGUGUUCAACAUUUUUUUCAGAUACUUGUUCAUCAUCUUUUGAGCAUAUGAUCAACAUUUCUUCCAUACUCCCGCCGUCCGGUGAAAGGUCUACAUAUACAAAUUUUAGGACAAAUAAAUGAGUGGAGUAAAAAAUGCAUUGGGAAGAGGCAAGUCACCAUCUCUUUUUUUAAUUACCAAAACCCCAAUGAGUUAAGUGUAGAAUGUUAUUGGUCUUGAUUACUGUGUGAUGACAGAGAAGCAUUUUUUCUACUUUCAUGUGCAUUGGGAGGAUAGAAGUACACUCUUUUGUGGACAAAAUUUAAAGCCAAACGUACACCCUUCACCGGACGGAGGGACUACACAGUUAACAUUUUCCAUAUGAUUGUUUAACAUUUAUUAAAUACAUGUUCAACAUUUUUUCAAAUACUUGAUUAAAAUUUGUAUACAUAUUAUAAAAAAUUCAUCAUUUUUUUCUUACAUGGUCAACAUUUUCCUAUACACAUUCAACAUUUUCAAAUGCAUAACUAUUUUUAGAAAAAACUUUAUGUAGAGUAUAUUUUUGUCAUAUAUAUCUUUAGAGUAUUUGGAGGCGUAAAUGAAAGUAGAAAUCAAAAAAGGAAUAGCAGAUCAUUAAUACCAGGAAUAUUCCGAAAACGACAACAAUUUAUCCUCAUCAUUGAUAUUAAUCGGGAUACCGGUAACUCCGGUACACUAAACGCAACUAAACUCGAUUCUUCUAAUUACGCCUAUGGGGCAGUGCAACCGACAAAUAAGAAUCAUUCGCCUGGUAUAAUAAACAGAUCUGAAUCGCACGACAUUGACUUAGCGGGCAAACAAAUAUAGAGUUAAAAUAAGCGGGUGGAAGAGAGAGAAAGGGUUUAUGAUGGUCAUCACCUGGAGGUGCACCGCAUGAGCUGCUGCGUCAGGGCUUCCACCUCGUCAAUGUCCACUUCGGGCUCCGCCCUGCGAUUUCCAGAGCAGAUAAUUAAGAUGAGUCAGUACCGAGACAGAGAGCAGAGGGAGAGAUGAUAGAGGGCGUGGGGGCGGACAUCAGGAUGUCGAUGCCGUCGAUGAUCUCGGAGGCGUCGUAGAUGAAGAGGCGGGAGACCUCGACGGCGGUGCCCUUGUCCCACAGCUCCUCGAAUGUGUCCUCGUCCACGACACCCUGGAUCAACGUCGACCACGGCAAGGCAAACUCAUAGGCCAAGUCAGGCCAAAUUCCACAACCACACGACUAGAGGGGGGGAGGGGCCUCACCUCCGUGUACAUGCCGGUGAUAUGGGCGUUAAGCUGGGCCCUACGGUAUGAUGUUCCAGCGAUCAUCGUUGGACCUGUAAUUGGCGACUUAAUUAGCCCAGACUUUUCGUACCAAUGCAAAUACACCUAAGCCGAGAGAUGCUCUUCACGCUGUCUCGCGAACCGACAGCUUUGUGAUCCCUCGAUGUGACCUUGCAGACCAUCCCUUCUGUUUUGCCCCUCCUCCGGCUACUGCUUGUGGUGCCGUCGUACUCUUAUAAGAAGGCCACGCUGAAAUUUCAGACCGAAAAGACCUGUUUAACAUGCCCAAAUAUGGUGAUUGGCUACACUCUGGGUACAACAACCAACAACAAGACUUGUUUGUAGAGAAAAACAAAUAGAACAUACAACAAAACAAAGUCACUAGAGGACAAACCAGCCAGGUAUAUGUUUUAUAAACAGCCCAUAGGAAGGGCGGCAACACAUCCACGUCACACUAGAAUAUGGACUUCACACCGACAUCAACACACGACAACAGUUUCCGUUCACAGGGUUACGAGCCCAAAGUUCCGACACGAGAAUAUUCAUCUAAGCUUUACGCGCACCCUUUAAAAACCGCUACAUCAGCAGAGACACAUGGAACGCAUAAUGAAAGGGAUUGCAUGGGGCCACACUCUUCCCCCUUCACUUGCCGCUACUUAGGA
rnacentral:lncRNA from 1 species